CCUACGGGUGGCAGCAGUGAGGAAUAUUGGUCAAUGGACGAGAGUCUGAACCAGCCAAGUAGCGUGAAGGAUGACUGCCCUAUGGGUUGUAAACUUCUUUUAUAUGGGAAUAAAACGUUCCACGUGUGGGAUUUUGUAUGUACCAUAUGAAUAAGGAUCGGCUAACUCCGUGCCAGCAGCAGCGGUAAUACGGAGGAUCCGAGCGUUAUCCGGAUUUAUUGGGUUUAAAGGGAGCGUAGGUGGAUUGUUAAGUCAGUUGUGAAAGUUUGCGGCUCAACCGUAAAAUUGCAGUUGAAACGGGCAGUCUUGAGUACAGUAGAGGUGGGCGGAAUUCGUGGUGUAGCGGUGAAAUGCGUAGAUAUCACGAAGAACUCCGAUUGCGAAGGCAGUUCACUGGACUGCAACUGACACUGAGGCUCGAAAGUGUGGGUAUCAAACAGGAUUAGAUACCCUGGUAGUC
rnacentral:rRNA from 1 species